rnacentral:lncRNA from 1 species
CUCCCCCUUUGCCACCUCGGAACGCCGGGAAAGGUACGAGCUUGAGGACGCUGAUGGAUUUGACCCCCUGGUUGCUUAGCCUGCCAGUUAAGUGGCAGGAUCUGAAACAUACUAUCCGGGGCAGCUCAGAAGUGCGACUUUGUCAUUCCCCAGGCACGAGAGUGCAAAAGGUCGUAUCUUGGGUAUUGUAGGUGUGUUUGUUACCUUGCAUUAACCUCCAGUGAGUUACAUGGCUUUUUAUGCCCAUCCUCCUGAAAAAAAAAAAAAAAAAAAAAAAAAAAAAACCAAGACUGAAACGGUAAAGUGACUUUGUAGUUGAGACUCAGUCUGAGAGCCAUGGGUGUUAGCACCUGUGCUGUCUGUAGCUCUUGGUUCUCUGAAAGGCUACUUUGCUCUGUACUGAGAUGCCUCUGUGUUAAAUAUGUGACUGUCUGAACUAAAGAGGUGAGAGUUGGUAGAAAGCGUGUCCUUACACAUGAAGCCCUGGGUUUGAUCCCCAGCACUGUGUGAAAGUGCACGUCACGAUUACACAAUCACUAUCCUUCCAGAUAACCCAAACGCCGUGCUUCUUAGUCUAAUUACUUACACUCUUUUAAUGAUUUGAUAUUCAUUUCCCCUUCCUUUUCUUCCUUUCAUCGAUGACUUCCCUCUCUAAAGUCUGAAAUAAGCUGCCUGCCGUGCUAUUAGCCUCCUUUGCAGUCCUUCUGUCACAUGGGGGCCUCGCUCUUCUUGUAGGAUUCCUACCCAUAUGAAUUGUUGUUCCUGAUUAAGUAGAAAAGCAACAGCACUCCUUCAGCAACCUCCAUGGUUUCAAUAGCCCUACUUAACUGGCUGGUACAGGAAACAAUGAAAUGAUCAGGAGUUCGUUAUCAUUCUAGCAAGUUUGAGGACAACCUGCAUUUCAUGAGCCCCUGACUCCGGAGUGGGAUGAGGGUGCCAUAGUAGUUGAUAAUAUCUGUGAAGCACUUGCCUCACAAGAGAUCACACACCACACUUUUCCCAUCCCAACGCCUCCAAAUGAGGUAGGUAAUGUAGGUUCUCAUCUACCUGGGGUCCGAACACAGAUCCCGUAUGAACAAAACCCACAGUCCCAUACUCUCAGAUGAGGUGAGGAUGGCCUAGGCCGCUGUUACUCCCUAUGUUGUCAGAUGCCUUCACCAGCCCAACAUUAGGCCAGUGGAGGUGGUUCCCCACCCAUUACCACAAACACUAGCCCUUUGUCCUCUCUCCAGAGUGUGUCCAGCUCUGGAGCUCGGUGUUGAGGGUCAAAUUAAGACACAGAAAUUUUAGGGCUGUAGCUGAGAGGUGCUGAGCACUGUAGCUGCCAGAGAAUCCAAAUGUGGGAUUCUCCCAGUGCGCUCAGCCCCGGUCAGCACAGGUUGGCAGUGCCCUUGGUACACAACGACUGGCCUAUUUGAAUCACACUGGUGCUGUUUUCUGGCAAAUGUGAGCUUUAUUCAAAACUGGUUUUUUCACAGCUUAUUCUCCAUUGAAAUCGUGUUAUAAAUGGGAGCUGUGUUCUUAGAGAGACCCCAAAUGACCUUGUAGAUCAUAAAAUGAUAGGGAACAUUACAAUAAAGCUUUAGCGUGAGCAGUUCUCAUCAAAGACAAACGCUUAUGGUGGUGGAUACAAGCCAAGUGUUUCUUAUCAUUCUGCACAGUCUACUAGAACACACUUUUAAAGACAGACCAUUAAUGUACCAAGCUUACAAAUCUAUACUGUGUGAGCUCUGUGCUGUUCUCCCUUCUGCAAAACCAUGAUCCCCAGCAAGUCGUGCUUCUGACAAGAGGACAGAAAGGAGCCUCCAGACCUGAUAAAUGCAUCUGAAGGAUUGAUUUUCUGUGCCCUGGUUAUGUGGUGACCUGUCUUGACAGGCAGAGCCAGCACCUGUUCAGAGAGCCUUCGCUGACAGCAGAAGCCAAGAACUAAUACACCCAACCCCCACCCCUUGUAGCCUCCCUGUGUAAUUUUAUCUCACAGGGACGU